rnacentral:lncRNA from 1 species
UGGUGAGACUUCAACUGUACUGUUGGUUUGUCAGUGUUGAUCCAGGAAAGAAGACCUAAAUAGCUCCCUGUUGCUCAGGUGAGAAGUUAGCUACUCCACAGCAGAGUACACCAAAAAGCACUCCUUCUGGUUUCAGUGGUAACUGCUUUUGAGAAAGCUGGACUGUAAGUAUUUUAUUUCCUGGAAAAAGACUUUCUCAAAAAAAAGAGAGCGACC